GUACACACCGCCCGUCACACCAUGGGAGUUGGUUCUACCCGAAGACGGUGCGCUAACCGCAAGGAGGCAGCCGGCCACGGUAAGGUCAGCGACUGGGACUAAGUCGUAACAAGGUAUCCGUAGGUGAACCUGCAGAAGGAUCA
rnacentral:rRNA from 1 species